GAUGAACGCUGGCGGCGUGCCUAAUACAUGCAAGUCGAGCGAACAGACGAGGAGCUUGCUCCUUUGACGUUAGCGGCGGACGGGUGAGUAACACGUAGGUAACCUACCUAUAAGACUGGGAUAAUUUCGGGAAACAGGAGCCAAUACCGGCUAAUAUUUCGAACCGCAUGGUUCGAUAGUGAAAGAUGGCUUUGCUAUCACUUAUAGAUGGACCUGCGCCGUAUUAGCUAGUUGGUAAGGUAACGGCUUACCAAGGCAACGAUACGUAGCCGACCUGAGAGGGUGAUCGGCCACACUGGAACUGAGACACGGUCCAGACUCCUACGGGAGGCAGCAGUAGGGAAUCUUCCGCAAUGGGCGAAAGCCUGACGGAGCAACGCCGCGUGAGUGAUGAAGGUCUUCGGAUCGUAAAGCUCUGUUAUUAGGGAAGAACAAACGUGUAAGUAACUGUGCACGUCUUGACGGUACCUAAUCAGAAAGCCACGGCUAACUACGUG
rnacentral:rRNA from 1 species